rnacentral:rRNA from 1 species
AUAGUCUAUAAUGCAGUCGAGCGGACAGAUGGGAGCUUGCUCCCUGAUGUUAGCGGCGGACGGGUGAGUAACACGUGGGUAACCUGCCUGUAAGACUGGGAUAACUCCGGGAAACCGGGGCUAAUACCGGAUGGUUGUUUGAACCGCAUGGUUCAAACAUAAAAGGUGGCUUCGGCUACCACUUACAGAUGGACCCGCGGCGCAUUAGCUAGUUGGUGAGGUAACGGCUCACCAAGGCAACGAUGCGUAGCCGACCUGAGAGGGUGAUCGGCCACACUGGGACUGAGACACGGCCCAGACUCCUACGGGAGGCAGCAGUAGGGAAUCUUCCGCAAUGGACGAAAGUCUGACGGAGCAACGCCGCGUGAGUGAUGAAGGUUUUCGGAUCGUAAAGCUCUGUUGUUAGGGAAGAACAAGUACCGUUCGAAUAGGGCGGUACCUUGACGGUACCUAACCAGAAAGCCACGGCUAACUACGUGCCAGCAGCCGCGGUAAUACGUAGGUGGCAAGCGUUGUCCGGAAUUAUUGGGCGUAAAGGGCUCGCAGGCGGUUUCUUAAGUCUGAUGUGAAAGCCCCCGGCUCAACCGGGGAGGGUCAUUGGAAACUGGGGAACUUGAGUGCAGAAGAGGAGAGUGGAAUUCCACGUGUAGCGGUGAAAUGCGUAGAGAUGUGGAGGAACACCAGUGGCGAAAGGCGACUCUCUGGUCUGUAACUGACGCUGAGGAGCGAAAGCGUGGGGAGCGAACAGGAUUAGAUACCCUGGUAGUCCACGCCGUAACGAUGAGUGCUAGUGUUAGGGGGUUUCCGCCCCUUAGUGCUGCAGCUAACGCAUUAGCACUCGCUGGGGGAGUACGUCCGCAAGACUGAACUCAAGAUUGACGGGGCCGCACAAGCGGU